UUAAAUUGAAGAGUUUGAUCAUGGCUCAGAUUGAACGCUGGCGGCAGGCCUAACACAUGCAAGUCGAACGGUAACAGGAAGCAGCUUGCUGCUUUGCUGACGAGUGGCGGACGGGUGAGUAAUGUCUGGGAAACUGCCUGAUGGAGGGGGAUAACUACUGGAAACGGUGGCUAAUACCGCAUAACGUCGCAAGACCAAAGAGGGGGACCUUCGGGCCUCUUGCCAUCAGAUGUGCCCAGAUGGGAUUAGCUUGUUGGUGAGGUAACGGCUCACCAAGGCGACGAUCCCUAGCUGGUCUGAGAGGAUGACCAGCCACACUGGAACUGAGACACGGUCCAGACUCCUACGGGAGGCAGCAGUGGGGAAUAUUGCACAAUGGGCGCAAGCCUGAUGCAGCCAUGCCGCGUGUAUGAAGAAGGCCUUCGGGUUGUAAAGUACUUUCAGCGGGGAGGAAGGUGUUGUGGUUAAUAACCGCAGCAAUUGACGUUACCCGCAGAAGAAGCACCGGCUAACUCCGUGCCAGCAGCCGCGGUAAUACGGAGGGUGCAAGCGUUAAUCGGAAUUACUGGGCGUAAAGCGCACGCAGGCGGUCUGUCAAGUCGGAUGUGAAAUCCCCGGGCUCAACCUGGGAACUGCAUUCGAAACUGGCAGGCUUGAGUCUUGUAGAGGGGGGUAGAAUUCCAGGUGUAGCGGUGAAAUGCGUAGAGAUCUGGAGGAAUACCGGUGGCGAAGGCGGCCCCCUGGACAAAGACUGACGCUCAGGUGCGAAAGCGUGGGGAGCAAACAGGAUUAGAUACCCUGGUAGUCCACGCCGUAAACGAUGUCUACUUGGAGGUUGUGCCCUUGAGGCGUGGCUUCCGGAGCUAACGCGUUAAGUAGACCGCCUGGGGAGUACGGCCGCAAGGUUAAAACUCAAAUGAAUUGACGGGGGCCCGCACAAGCGGUGGAGCAUGUGGUUUAAUUCGAUGCAACGCGAAGAACCUUACCUGGUCUUGACAUCCACGGAAGAAUCCAGAGAUGGAUUUGUGCCUUCGGGAACCGUGAGACAGGUGCUGCAUGGCUGUCGUCAGCUCGUGUUGUGAAAUGUUGGGUUAAGUCCCGCAACGAGCGCAACCCUUAUCCUUUGUUGCCAGCGGUUAGGCCGGGAACUCAAAGGAGACUGCCAGUGAUAAACUGGAGGAAGGUGGGGAUGACGUCAAGUCAUCAUGGCCCUUACGACCAGGGCUACACACGUGCUACAAUGGCGCAUACAAAGAGAAGCGACCUCGCGAGAGCAAGCGGACCUCAUAAAGUGCGUCGUAGUCCGGAUUGGAGUCUGCAACUCGACUCCAUGAAGUCGGAAUCGCUAGUAAUCGUGGAUCAGAAUGCCACGGUGAAUACGUUCCCGGGCCUUGUACACACCGCCCGUCACACCAUGGGAGUGGGUUGCAAAAGAAGUAGGUAGCUUAACCUUCGGGAGGGCGCUUACCACUUUGUGAUUCAUGACUGGGGUGAAGUCGUAACAAGGUAACCGUAGGGGAACCUGCGGUUGGAUCACCUCCUUACCU
rnacentral:rRNA from 1 species